rnacentral:lncRNA from 1 species
GGGGAGGAGGAAGAAAAGGAGGAAGAGGAAGAAGAAGGAGGAGGAUGAAAGAAAAUAACAUUAUAGAUAUUUGAAAAGUUGUAAGGAAGAAUAAUAUUAGUUAUAUACAUUAAAACCUGUAAUAUACAUAAGUCUGUAUAUAAAUAUACACACAUGAUAUUCCCUUAUUUGGGUAGAAAAUGCUUCCUCUGAGAGCUAAACAGGAACAAACUAAUAAAAACCCCAAGGCUAGGCAUAAAAAGCCCUCUUUUGAGUUGCUGCUCAAGAGAAUACCCAAACAUUACAAUUAUUGCUACUGGUAUUUGGUUGUCCCUCCAGAAGUGAACGGUUAGUACUUAUUGUUGAAGACACUGUGCACUUCAGGCAUCGUGUCCAAAGGACUCUGAACUGGAACUCAACUGAAUACCCUCUUUUUGAGGACUAGAUUUCAUGAUCCCAGAAAGUGUCAUGCAAGCUUCUAAGGGAGGGGAGCAAUCAACAGUCCCAUCUAGCAUGACACUGCAGCACUGACCAGCAUGCCAUAUCUUGAACUUUUGUUUUUCUUUUCUUUGAUAUUCUACCAGGAAAACCUUAAAAAGCUAACCCCAAGGCUUGGAUAACCCCAAGGCUGUAGUAGCAGCACACAGUAGCAGCAGUAACUGAUCCCAAGACGUGUUCAACAAGAGGGUAAUCAUCUGUCAUACUAGGAACGUAGCCAACUACUCAGAGGUAGCAAAAUCAUGGGUCUUGGAAGAGAAUCUGUAUGUAAUGUCACUUCUCCAAAACAGCAAAACCCCUAACUACCUUCUCAAUAUGUACCCCUGUACUGACAGAUAAGCGUAGUCAUCACUCCUCAUCAAGGAAACUUCUCUUUGCAACAGAUUGAGACUAUUACAGAAAAUGCCGAAUUGUGAUGCUCAGUUUCAACAAAUACAUCUAUAAAAUAAUUUCUGCACCUAAAGCUUAAUGGAUAAUUACUGGAGAGCAGAGGAAAAGAUUGUAAGAGUCAGGAGAUUUAGACAUUUGCUGUGAGACUGUCUCCUAAUACUGUCAGAAGCUAUAGCCACAAAGUCUCACUAAUGUGACAAAAUGAACAUGAGCUGAAUGGGAAAAAAAAAGUGAAGUAGAAAUUAUGUAAUUAUAUUAUAAUUUCACAGACAAAGAAAUUUUUUAAAAGGAAUAAUAAUAAUUCUGUAAAAGCUAGGAAUUACAGAUGAAAGUGUAAUAAGUAAAGAAUAGUAUUUGCUUCUCUACAUUUAUUUAGGAUUUGUCUUUAUUUCUGUUCUGGCUCAAACUCCUCUCCAAGAUGACUGAUUCAAUCUGGCUUCUCUCAGCUUCUCACUGAAUUUUUCUACUUAUCCUCAAACAAAUUCAGGAAAUUUGUUCUAAUCUUUGUCUCCUUCUUCUCUGGCUUCAACUGCCCCUGCUGACCUACCCUGGAUGAACUGCAUAAACUGAAUGGAAAUCACAAACACACUCAGAUGAGUUCAACUGCAUAGCAUGACUUGCAUUGACUGAACUGAUACAAUUCCCUGAAAUCUUUGUGCCGGAUCUUAAGUAGCCUCUCUUUCCUGUCUUUUCACAUGAGAGUUGAGUGUGUCCUGUUUCUGAUUCAUUCUGUCAAAUCUUUCUUCUUCGAUCUGUUACUUUCUCUGACCCUCAAUUAGACAUCACUUUGAUAUAAGGCUCCUCCCUUCUAGAAACUAACUUUGUUUGGAAUUAAAGGUGUGUACUAAAGGUGUGUCUGUAUUCCACCUGGAUCUUAUCUUUAAAAGUGAUUCCUUGCAAGAGCAGCCAUAGUGCUGGAUAAAAUUGUUCUACAGUGUAUCAUGAAAUAAAACAAGAUACUGUUGGGAAAGAGUGGAGUUGACAGGGGUGGGAGGAAAAUGGAAGAAGGGGAUGAGAAUAACCAGCAUGUGUGUAUUAUUAACAGGAACCUAUCAAUGAACAUUUAGUAUAAAUAAUCUUAGGAAUUAGUCUCUCUCUCUCUCUCUCUCUCUCUCUCUCUCUCUCUCUCUCAUGAAAAUUUGAGCUCUGAGUUGGAUAAAGACAAGUGUGUUGUGAUCUUUAUAGGCAGGAUGGUGACUGAUAACCCUCUGUGACUUACACAGCUAGACAGACAAGGCAUCAGUGAGGCUCUGUGCUUUCUUGCUUCGAGUAUUUUGCUACACCCUCGCUGGUGUGCAAUCCACUUCUCAUCCUUUACUUCUUAGAGAUCCUGUUCAGAGAAAAAAAAAUAGAACAAAAGAAAAGCAAUGAGAAGAGGCAGGCCUGGUCUACAGAAUGAGUUCCAGGACAGCCAGAGCUACACAGAGAAACCCUGUCUCAAAAAACAAACAACACCAACAACAAAAAAAAGAAAGAAAGAAAAAGAAAA